rnacentral:rRNA from 1 species
GUCCCAGUUCAGAUUGUAGGCUGCAACCCGCCUGUAUGAAGUUGGAAUCGCUAGUAAUCGCGGAUCAGCAUGCCGCGGUGAAUACGUUCCCGGGCCUUGUACACACCGCCCGUCACACCAUGAGAGUCGGGAACACCCGAAGUCCGUAGCCUAACCGCAAGGGGGCGCGGCCGAAGGUGGGUUCGAUAAUUGGGGUGAAGUCGUAACAAGGUACC